GAUCCUGGCUCAGGAUGAACGCUAGCUACAGGCUUAACACAUGCAAGUCGAGGGGCAGCGGGAUUGAAGCUUGCUUCAAUUGCCGGCGACCGGCGCACGGGUGAGUAACGCGUAUCCAACCUUCCGUACACUCAGGGAUAGCCUUUCGAAAGAAAGAUUAAUACCUGAUGGUAUGAUGAGAUUGCAUGAUAGCAUCAUUAAAGAAUUUAUCGGUGUACGAUGGGGAGUGCG
rnacentral:rRNA from 1 species